UACGUNCCAGCAGCCGCGGUAAUACGUAGGUCCCGAGCGUUGUCCGGAUUUAUUGGGCGUAAAGCGAGCGCAGGCGGUUAGAUAAGUNUGAAGUUAAAGGCUGUGGCUUAACCAUUGUACGCUUUGGAAACUGUUUAACUUGAGUGCAGAAGGGGAGAGUGGAAUUCCAUGUGUAGCGGUGAAAUGCGUAGAUAUAUGGAGGAACACCGGUGGCGAAAGCGGCUCUCUGGUCUGUAACUGACGCUGAGGCUCGAAAGCGUGGGGAGCGAACAGGAUUAGAUACCCUGGUAGUCCACGCCGUAAACGAUGAGUGCUAGGUGUUAGGCCCUUUCCGGGGCUUAGUGCCGCAGCUAACGCAUUAAGCACUCCGCCUGGGGAGUACGACCGCAAGGUUGAAACUCAAAGGAAUUGACGGGGGCCCGCACAAGCGGUGGAGCAUGUGGUUUAAUCCGAAGCAACGCGAAGAACCUUACCAGGUCUUGACAUCCCGAUGCCCGCUCUAGAGAUAGAGUUUUACUUCGGUACAUCGGUGACAGGUGGUGCAUGGUUGUCGUCAGCUCGUGUCGUGAGAUGUUGGGUUAAGUCCCGCAACGAGCGCAACCCUUAUUGUUAGUUGCCAUCAUUCAGUUGGGCACUCUAGCGAGACUGCCGGUAAUAAACCGGAGGAAGGUGGGGAUGACGUCAAAUCAUCAUGCCCCUUAUGACCUGGGCUACACACGUGCUACAAUGGCUGGUACAACGAGUCGCAAGUCGGUGACGGCAAGCUAAUCUCUUAAAGCCAGUCUCAGUUCGGAUUGUAGGCUGCAACUCGCCUACAUGAAGUCGGAAUCGCUAGUAAUCGCGGAUCAGCACGCCGCGGUGAAUACGUUCCCGGGCCUUGUACACACCGCCCGUCACACCACGAGAGUUUGUAACACCCGAAGUCGGUGAGGUAACCUUU
rnacentral:rRNA from 1 species